AUUUAUUGGGCGUAAAGCGAGCGCAGGCGGUUUAAUAAGUCUGAAGUUAAAGGCAGUGGCUUAACCAUUGUUCGCUUUGGAAACUGUUAAACUUGAGUGCAGAAGGGGAGAGUGGAAUUCCAUGUGUAGCGGUGAAAUGCGUAGAUAUAUGGAGGAACACCGGUGGCGAAAGCGGCUCUCUGGUCUGUAACUGACGCUGAGGCUCGAAAGCGUGGGGAGCAAACAGGAUUAGAUACCCUGGUAGUCCACGCCGUAAACGAUGAGUGCUAGGUGUUAGGCCCUUUCCGGGGCUUAGUGCCGCAGCUAACGCAUUAAGCACUCCGCCUGGGGAGUACGACCGCAAGGUUGAAACUCAAAGGAAUUGACGGGGGCCCGCACAAGCGGUGGGGCAUGUGGUUUAAUUCGAAGCAACGCGAAGAACCUUACCAGGUCUUGACAUCCCGAUGCUAUUUCUAGAGAUAGAAAGUUUCUUCGGAACAUCGGUGACAGGUGGUGCAUGGUUGUCGUCAGCUCGUGUCGUGAGAUGUUGGGUUAAGUCCCGCAACGAGCGCAACCCCUAUUGUUAGUUGCCAUCAUUUAGUUGGGCACUCUAGCGAGACUGCCGGUAAUAAACCGGAGGAAGGUGGGGAUGACGUCAAAUCAUCAUGCCCCUUAUGACCAGGGCUACACACGUGCUACAAUGGCGUAAACAAAGGGAAGCGAGCCCGCGAGGGGGAGCAAAUCCCAAAAAUAACGUCUCAGUUCGGAUUGUAGUCUGCAACUCGACUACAUGAAGCUGGAAUCGCUAGUAAUCGCGAAUCAGAAUGUCGCGGUGAAUACGUUCCCGGGUCUUGUACACACCGCCCGUCACACCAUGGGAGUCAGUAACGCCCGAAGUCAGUGACCCAACCGCAAGGAGGGAGCUGCCGAAGUGGGACCGAUAACUGGGGUGAA
rnacentral:rRNA from 1 species